rnacentral:rRNA from 1 species
UGCCCAUCAGAAGGGGAUAACACUUGGAAACAGGUGCUAAUACCGUAUAACAAUCAAAACCGCAUGGUUUUGAUUUGAAAGGCGCUUUCGGGUGUCGCUGAUGGAUGGACCCGCGGUGCAUUAGCUAGUUGGUGAGGUAACGGCUCACCAAGGCCACGAUGCAUAGCCGACCUGAGAGGGUGAUCGGCCACAUUGGGACUGAGACACGGCCCAAACUCCUACGGGAGGCAGCAGUAGGGAAUCUUCGGCAAUGGACGAAAGUCUGACCGAGCAACGCCGCGUGAGUGAAGAAGGUUUUCGGAUCGUAAAACUCUGUUGUUAGAGAAGAACAAGGAUGAGAGUAACUGUUCAUCCCUUGACGGUAUUUAACCAGAAAGCCACGGCUAACUACGUGCCAGCAGCCGCGGUAAUACGUAGGUGGCAAGCGUUGUCCGGAUUUAUUGGGCGUAAAGCGAGCGCAGGCGGUUUCUUAAGUCUGAUGUGAAAGCCCCCGGCUCAACCGGGGAGGGUCAUUGGAAACUGGGAGACUUGAGUGCAGAAGAGGAGAGUGGAAUUCCAUGUGUAGCGGUGAAAUGCGUAGAUAUAUGGAGGAACACCAGUGGCGAAGGCGGCUCUCUGGUCUGUAACUGACGCUGAGGCUCGAAGCGUGGGGAGCAAACAGG